rnacentral:rRNA from 2 species
GGAUUCCCCUAGUAACUGCGAGUGAAGCGGGAAAAGCUCAAAUUUAAAAUCUGGCAGUCUUCGAUUGUCCGAGUUGUAAUUUAGAGAAGCGUUAUCCGUGUUGGACCGUGUACAAGUCUCCUGGAACGGAGCGUCAUAGAGGGUGAGAAUCCCGUCCAUGGCACGGACUACCAAUGCAUUGUGAUGCGCUCUCGAAGAGUCGAGUUGUUUGGGAAUGCAGCUCUAAAUGGGUGGUAAAUUCCAUCUAAAGCUAAAUAUAGGCGAGAGACCGAUAGCGAACAAGUACCGUGAGGGAAAGAUGAAAAGAACUUUGGAAAGAGAGUUAAACAGUACGUGAAAUUGUUGAAAGGGAAACGCUUGAAGUCAGUCGCGUUGUUCAGGGAUCAGCCUUGCUCUGCUUGGUGUACUUCCUGUUCGACGGGUCAGCAUCAGUUUUGACCGCUGGAAAAAGUGCGCAGGAAUGUGGCAUCCUCGGAUGUGUUAUAGCCUGUGUUCGUAUACAGCGAUUGGGACUGAGGAAUCAGCACUCGAUGCUUGGGAUGCUGGCAUAAUGGCUUUAAGCGACCCGUCUUGAAACACGGACCAAGGAGUCUAACAUGCCCGCGAGUGUUUGGGUGGAAAACCCGAGCGCGUAAUGAAAGUGAAAAGUUGGGAUCUCUGUCGUGGAGAGCACCGACGCCCGGACCAGAUGUUUUCGGACGGAUCUGCGGUAGAGCGUGUAUGUUGGGACCCGAAAGAUGGUGAACUAUGCCUGAAUAGGGCGAAGCCAGAGGAAACUCUGGUGGAGGCUCGUAGCGAUUCUGACGUGCAAAUCGAUCGUCGAAUUUGGGUAUAGGGG